AUCAGAGUUAAAAAGUGUUGAUUCUGGUGUUGAUUUGAAUGGCAUUAACACUUGCAGUGUAAAUCAGUGGUCGGAGUCAGUGUAAUUACAGCGAGUUGACAUAAUUGACACUGGUGAUGAGUUGAUCCAAUUUCCGGUCCUUGCACGUUAUUUCCUUUUUGAUUAAUGGCGGACGACCACGAGGAGAGGACAGUGUUCAAACAAGUAUAAUAUUUUAUAACCACUUAAAUUGACAAAUUUUCACGUUUAGUUUACGUUUCUCACCAUUCAGAAUAAUAUUAGUACAUUUCUCAACAUUGCCAGAGUGCUAACAGUAUUUCUUUUUAGAUAACGCGACAGACCACCGACAGAUAUCGAGUCCAUUUAGCUGCACUACUUGUUAGCAAGCAAAUUGAGCUUUCAUGUUCAUCAAGGCGUGAAGAAAUUUGUAAAACUGCACAGCGAUAGUAAUUCAUCUCCUGGCGCCUUAACUUUGUCGAGGAAGAACCCAAAAUGUGUUGGCUUGGAGAUGACUGAAAGUGGAGGACCAAGUCGACGAAGGAUAGAUGAUGUGCAACAACUUGAAGGAGAUGCAUGCAGAGAGCAGAAGUUCGGUGUCUUCUCAAUGCAGCAGGUGGACAAGGAUCUGAAAAUGAUUGGGAUGGUGACAUGUCACAUGACCUGCUGCUGUUGCAUCUCCUGCCUUCUGCUCCAGGGAGGAAGAAGACUAAGAUCAGUCCAGCAGAGGCUGGUGACAGACUUGUUCAUUACCAUAAGUCCUGCACCAGUAUUGAAGGCCAUCUCAGCAGGAGGAAGGGCCACCAGCCAUUCCUACUGAGAUCAGGAAGGAUUAAGGGCAGGAUCAACCACUUUUACGUCGUUGUGGACAAGCGCCUCAUCCCUUGCGUUGGAACCAGCUCCUUGAGUGCCUUUGAACUUUUUAAAGUUCACUAUAUUCAACCUGUUCUACGAGGAAGCCCUGGUGUCAAAAGCCAACAGCUUGUUCUACAGGCCUUUUGAGCUGCAGUGUUUAUAUGGGUCAGAUGAUGGUGAAUAUAGUGUACCUUUUGUGUUGGUGUAAUAGUUACAUCUGUGUUAAAAAUAACAUUUCUAACUGAUACAGCGUGUUGACUUUUUUAAAUAAAUUUUUUUAUUACACCGAAUGCACAGGAAUUUUUAGUCGAAUACAGAUUACACUUAAUUACCUUAAUCAGGGUUUGUAUGAACACUAUAUUAGUGUGGAAAUAAGUCUCUUGGUGUUAAGAUAUUGACACACGUAGUGUAGUUUCAACACUAACUUGGUGUAAAUGAGGGGGAGGGAAAACACUAAUGGUGUUAACGGUGAACACUUACAGUGUUGUUUUUACUCUAUGCAAGUGUAAAAAAAAGUUACACUAUUUAAAGUGUUAGUUUAACUCUAUUUAGUGUGGACCUAUAGAAACCCUGAAAAAGUUAAUUUUCUCACUGAGUGUUAAUUUAACACUUUCAAAUUUGCUGUGUAGGUACUGCUGCAUCUGAAUCCUGCUUCCUCACUGCCCUUCAAUAAAAUCUGUGACAGAUACGGUUUUUUUAGAAGUAUAUAGCUACUAUUACUAAUAAAAAUAAUUUUCAUUGCAUAUAGUGCAUUUUUAUUCUAUUCUUUCAGGAUCACAUCACCAAAGUCUGUGUGUCUGUAGUUGCCUGUGUGUCACCAAAGCCUGUGAAUAGCGCUAGCGAGCAUCCGAUGUAAAGUCACGUUUUCAAAGAAGAAGUCGUCACGCUGUUAGGAUUGUUCUAACGUGCUCUGAAGCGUGCUCUCACAUUGUGUUUAUUAAUUUUACUGCUCAGCUAACUGAGGUGACACUGCAGAGUAUAUUUUUCAAGUGUUUAUAUGUGUAAUCGCGUUGUUAGUUGAAUUAAUUUGUUACCAUACAAAUAAAUAAUCGCUCUGGCGCUCCCGCGGACGUUUCGCUCGCGCGCAGUUAACGUUACUGCAUGUGGAUGAACAAAUACUGAAGUUACAGUGGGCUUUAUCAUGAUAUCAAAAAGUAAUUACUGUUUGCUUAUUAAUAUGAUAAUGUUUUGUAAUGGUGCUUUCAGUCAUUGAUUUAAUUAUUUUCUCAAAACUUAAAUAUUUAGGUGCCUUUAUUCAUUUUGCAUUUAUCAAAUAUUUUUGUUGUAUAGAUUUGAUGCUUAGUUAUAAUGUGAGUUUACUUUUAUAAGCCACUUUUUUGUGUGAAGUUAUG
ensembl:lncRNA